rnacentral:rRNA from 1 species
CCUACGGGAGGCAGCAGUGGGGGAUAUUGCACAAUGGGGGAAACCCUGAUGCAGCGACGCCGCGUGGGUGAAGAAGCGCCUCGGCGCGUAAAGCCCUGUCAGCAGGGGAGAAAAAGACGGUACCUGAAGAAGAAGCCGCGGCUAACUACGGGCCGGCAGCCGCGGGAAUACGUAGGGGGCAAGCGUUAUCCGGAUUAACUGGGUGUAAAGGGGGCGAAGACGGCGAUGCAAGCCAGGAGUGAAAGCCCGGGGCCCAACCCCGGGACUGCUCUUGGAACUGCGUGGCUAGAGUGCAGGAGGGGCAGGCGGAAUUCCUGGUGUAGCGGUGAACUGCGUAGAUAUCAGGAGGAACACCGGUGGCGAAGGCGGCCUGCUGGACUGCAACUGACGUUGAGGCCCGAAAGCGUGGGGAGCAAACAGGAUUAGAUACCCCGGUAGUC